GGGCGAAUGGUCUAGUGGUAUGAUUCUUCGUUUGGGUAUUCUCAACAACCUGAGCAAUAAAUUUCGAAGAGGCCCUGGGUUCGAUUCCCAGUUCGCCCC
rnacentral:tRNA from 2 species